UACGUAGGGGGCAAGCGUUGUCCGGAAUCAUUGGGCGUAAAGCGCGUGUAGGCGGCCAGAAAGUCCGCUGUGAAAACUCGAGGCUCAACCUCGAGACGCCACUCGAUACUGUUUGACUGGAGUCCGGUAGAGGAGUGCGGAAUUCCUGGUGUAGCGGUGAAAUGCGCAGAUAUCAGGAGGAACACCAACGGCGAAGGCAGCACUCUGGGCCGGUACUGACGCUGAGGAGCGAAAGCGUGGGGAGCAAACAGG
rnacentral:rRNA from 1 species